UGUAACAGUGCUUAUGAAGGCCAAAGCAAGUCCUAUUGCUGAACCCAAAAUUCAAGGUGGGAAAAGUUACUCUGGCUUUCUAAUGGGAGGAACUACCAAAAUCACAUUAAAAAAUUUUCCUCUGUGAGGUCCCUGGCAGGUUCCAGCCCUUCUCUCACUGAUCUUCACCUGAGCUGUGUCCCUUCUUCCGUCUCCUUUAUCUGAGAUCAAGUGUUUUGCAGAUUCAGAAAAAUGAAGGUGCAAGUCCAGCUGACAAAUCAAGGAAGGAUUAAUUGUUUGAGCAGCAACUUGCUGCUGAGACAUUGAAUGAACCUGUGCAAUUGAAGUCGGGGAGACUUUAACUGUGAGGAGCUUGAGCAGUUUCCACCAUCUAUCCUCAGUGGGUCCUGGAAAACAGACAUUAAACACACACUUCCUACAGCUGAGCCAGCACUUGGAGGCCACAGGGGAUCAAUGAUCAAAGACUCUGCAUCUGGAGGGAAAAUUUGGACAUAGACAUGUCCAGAAGGAAGAUCAUGUGAAGACACAGAAGCAAUAUGGUCACUGACAAGCCAAGGAGAGACGCCUGGAUCAGUUGUAUCAUUCGCAGCCUUCACAAGGAACAACACUCACCAAACCUUGAUCCCAGACUUCUAGCCUUCAGAACUAUGAGGCAAGUUCUUGUUGUUUCAACCACCCAUUUUGUAGU